rnacentral:rRNA from 1 species
UUAAAAGCAAAUAAGAGUACACGGGGAAUGCCUAGGCUCUCAGAGGCGAAGAAGGACGUGAUAAGCUGCGAUAAGCUUCGGGUAGUUGCAAAUAAACUAUCAUCCGAAGAUUUCCGAAUGGGGCAACCCUCUAUAUUGAAGAUAUAGAAUCCUGCAAAGGAAGCUAACCCGGGGAACUGAAACAUCUAAGUACCCGGAGGAAAAGAAAACAAAAGUGAUUUCCGUAGUAGCGGCGAGCGAACUGGAAAUAGCCCAAACCAAUGAGAUUUAUCUUGUUGGGGUAGUAGGGCUGCAAAUAUGAUAUAUAAUCUGAAGUGGAAGUAUCUGGAAAGUUACACCAAAGAGAGUGAAAGUCUCGUAUACGUUAAGUUUAUAUAUUUAUGCAGUACCCUGAGUAGUGCGGGACUCGUGAAAUCCUGUAUGAAUCAACCGGGACCAUCCGGUAAGGCUAAAUACUCCUGAGAGACCGAUAGUGAACUAGUACCGUGAGGGAAAGGUGAAAAGAACCCUAAAUAAGGGAGUGAAAUAGUACCUGAAACCGUGUACUUACAAGCGGUCGGAGCCAAUUUAUUUGGUGACGGCGUGCCUUUUGCAUAAUGAGCCUACGAGUUACUGCUCACUGGCAAGGUUAAGUUAUUAAAAUGACGGAGCCGUAGCGAAAGCGAGUCUGAAUAGGGCGAAAGUCAGUGGGCGUAGACGCGAAACCUUGUGAUCUACCCAUGAGCAGGUUGAAGCUUCUGUAAUAGGAAGUGGAGGACCGAACCAGUAUACGUUGAAAAGUGUUUGGAUGACUUGUGGGUAGGGGUGAAAGGCCAAUCAAACUAGGAAAUAGCUCGUACUCCCCGAAAUGCUUUUAGGAGCAGCGUUGGAGUUAAGUUUUACGGAGGUAGAGCUACCAAUUGGGCUAGGGGGCUUCACCGCCUACCAAACCCUGAUGAACUCCGAAUACCGUAAAAUAUAUCCAGCAGUGAGGCAGUGGGUGCUAAGGUCCAUUGCCGAGAGGGAAAGAACCCAGACUAACAGCUAAGGUCCCUAAAUCUAUACUAAGUUGAUCUAACGUUGUUUGAUUGCUAUGACAGCUAGGAUGUUGGCUUGGAAGCAGCCAUUCAUUUAAAGAGUGCGUAACAGCUCACUAGUCGAGUGAUCGAGCGCGGAAAAUAAUCGGGCAUCAAGUAUAGUACCGAAGCUUUAGAUUCAUACCAAUAGGUAUGAGUGGUAGGGGAGCAUUCUAAUUUCAUCGAAGUCGGGUCGUAAGGCCCGGUGGAGGAAUUAGAAAAGAAAAUGUAGGCAUAAGUAACGAUAAAAUAGGUGAAAAACCUAUUCGCCAAUAGACUAAGGGUUCCUGAUCAAUGCUAAUCAGAUCAGGGUUAGUCGGGUCCUAAGGAUAACCCGAAAGGGGAAGCCGAUGGCAAACAGAUUAAUAUUUCUGUACCUGCUUUACAAUGAAAGUGACGGAGAGACGUAGCAGCUACGUGCUGACGGAAUAGCACGUUGAGCCUAUCCACAUGUGGAGAAGCGAAGUUGGGAAAUCUCUUCCAAGAAAUAGCGAGUAAUAGCAGCCCGUACCGUAAACCGACACAGGUAGUCAAGUAGAGUAUACUAAGGCGCUCGAGUGAUCCGUGGCUAAGGAAUUCGGCAAAAUUGUCCUGUAACUUCGGGAGAAAGGACGCCUCGUUAGCGAUAACGAGGCCGCAGUGAAUAGGCCCAGGCGACUGUUUAUCAAAAACACAGGACUUUGCUAAGUCGAGAGAUGAUGUAUAAGGUCUGACACCUGCCCGGUGCUGGAAGGUUAAGGAAGGAGGUUAGUACUUCGGUACAAAGCUUUUAACUGAAGCCCCAGUAAACGGCGGCCGUAACUAUAACGGUCCUAAGGUAGCGAAAUUCCUUGUCGGGUAAGUUCCGACCUGCACGAAUGGUGUAACGAUCUGGGCGCUGUCUCGGCCACGAGCUCGGUGAAAUUGUAGUAUCGGUGAAGAUGCCGGUUACCCGCAAUGGGACGAAAAGACCCCGUGAACCUUCACUACAACUUCGCAUUGACAUUGGGUAAAUAACAUGUAGGAUAGGUGGGAGACUUUGAAGCUGUGUCGCUAGGCAUGGUGGAGUCGUCCUUGAAAUACCACCUUUUAUUUAUCUAAUGUCUAAUCUAUAACUGGAGACAUUGCGUGGUGGGUAGUUUGACUGGGGUGGUCGCCUCCAAAAGAGUAACGGAGGCUUCUAAAGGUACCCUCAGCACGUUUGGUAAUCGUGCGUAGAGCAUAAUGGUAUAAGGGUGCUUGACUGCAAGACCUACAAGUCGAGCAGGUACGAAAGUAGAGCAUAGUGAUCCGGUGGUUCCGCAUGGAAGGGCCAUCGCUCAAAGGAUAAAAGGUACUCCGGGGAUAACAGGCUGAUCUCCCCCAAGAGCUCAUAUCGACGGGGAGGUUUGGCACCUCGAUGUCGGCUCGUCACAUCCUGGGGCUGGAGAAGGUCCCAAGGGUUGGGCUGUUCGCCCAUUAAAGUGGCACGCGAGCUGGGUUCAGAACGUCGCGAGACAGUUCGGUCUCUAUCUAUUGUGGGCGUUAGAAAUUUGAGGAGAGCUGACCCUAGUACGAGAGGACCGGGUUGGACAAACCUCUGGUGUAUCUGUUGUAGCGCCAGCUGCAUUGCAGAGUAGCUAUGUUUGGAAGGGAUAAGCGCUGAAAGCAUCUAAGCGCGAAGCCUACUUCAAGAUGAGAUUUCUUUUAAGAGUCGUUCGAGAUGAGGACGUUGAUAGGGUGUAGGUGUAAAGGCGGUAACGUCAAAGCCGAACACUACUAAUUGCUCGUUAGCUUUUUUUA